rnacentral:rRNA from 1 species
GAUGAGUAGGGCGGGACACGUGGUAUCCUGUCUGAAUAUGGGGGGACCAUCCUCCAAGGCUAAAUACUCCUGACUGACCGAUAGUGAACCAGUACCGUGAGGGAAAGGCGAAAAGAACCCCGGCGAGGGGAGUGAAAAAGAACCUGAAACCGUGUACGUACAAGCAGUGGGAGCACGCUUAGGCGUGUGACUGCGUACCUUUUGUAUAAUGGGUCAGCGACUUAUAUUCUGUAGCAAGGUUAACCGAAUAGGGGAGCCGAAGGGAAACCGAGUCUUAACUGGGCGUUAAGUUGCAGGGUAUAGACCCGAAACCCGGUGAUCUAGCCAUGGGCAGGUUGAAGGUUGGGUAACACUAACUGGAGGACCGAACCGACUAAUGUUGAAAAAUUAGCGGAUGACUUGUGGCUGGGGGUGAAAGGCCAAUCAAACCGGGAGAUAGCUGGUUCUCCCCGAAAGCUAUUUAGGUAGCGCCUCGUGAAUUCAUCUCCGGGGGUAGAGCACUGUUUCGGCAAGGGGGUCAUCCCGACUUACCAACCCGAUGCAAACUGCGAAUACCGGAGAAUGUUAUCACGGGAGACACACGGCGGGUGCUAA